rnacentral:rRNA from 1 species
UACGUAGGGUCCGAGCGUUGUCCGGAAUUACUGGGCGUAAAGAGCUCGUAGGUGGUUUGUCGCGUUGUUCGUGAAAACUCACAGCUUAACUGUGGGCGUGCGGGCGAUACGGGCAGACUUGAGUACUGCAGGGGGAGACUGGAAUUCCUGGUGUAGCGGUGGAAUGCGCAGAUAUCAGGAGGAACACCGGUGGCGAAGGCGGGUCUCUGGGCAGUAACUGACGCUGAGGAGCGAAAAGCGUGGGGGAGCAAACGGGG